GUCUACAGCCAUGCCACCCUGAACAAGCACGACCCGUCUGAUCUCAGAAGCUAAGCAGGGGCAGGCCUGGUUAGUACUUGGAUGGGAGACCACCUAGAAAGACCAGAUGCUGUAGGCA
rfam:Pteropus alecto contig43071, whole genome shotgun sequence.